UUCAAAAUGGCGAUCUUUUGUUAAUUUAAUUAGAUAAAAUUGAGUGGUUAUCGUAAACAGGUUCCUGUAAUUCAGCACAUCAAUCUUAUUUAAUAAUAUUUAUUGGACCUUCAAAGAUUCUGUAAUCCAGCACAUCAAUCUUAUUUAUUGAGAAUAGUUAAUAUUUAUUGGACCCUUAAAGUAAGUAUUCCUUUUAUUAUUAUUAUUUUUAUUAAU